GCUAAAGUAACGAUAAGUCCCAAAUUACCUACAAUAGCCGGUUUAAAAGUUUCUUGCUGACGUGGCAUGUCUAACUUGAGUAUUUACUAUCUCUUUUGUCUCCCUUUUCCUCCACUGUGUAUUCCUCCCUCUCUCAUCUUAUUUUCUGUCUCUCUCUUGAAUGGACAGCGUUUCUUCCUCACAAAAAUUUACUCCAAAUCUCUCUUGAUUUCUAUCUCUAAAAAAGACCCUCCACUGUCAAUCAAUGUGGGCUUUGAAGUAACAGAUCA
rnacentral:misc_RNA from 1 species